rnacentral:rRNA from 1 species
CUACGGGCCGCUCCAGUGGGGAAUAUUGGACAAUGGGGGAAACCCUGAUCCAGCAAUGCCGCGUGUGUGAAGAAGGCCUGCGGGUUGUAAAGCACUUUCGGUUGGGAGGACUGCUUCUAGCACUAAUAUUGUUGGAAGUUGACGUUACCUUCAGAAGAAGCACCGGCUAACUCCGUGCCAGCAGCCGCGGUGAAUACGGAGGGUGCAAGCGUUAAUCGGAAUUACUGGGCGUAAAGCGCGCGUAGGCGGCUAGAUCAGUCGGGUGUGAAAGCCCCGGGCUUAACCUGGGAACUGCAUCCGAUACUGUCUAGCUUGAGUACAGGAGAGGAGAGUGGAAUUCCGCAUGUAGCGGUGAAAUGCGUAGAUAUGUGGAGGAACACCAAUGGCGAAGGCAGCUCUCUGGCCUGAUACUGACGCUGAGGUGCGAAAGCGUGGGGAGCAAACAGGAUUAGAUACCCCUGUAGUC